UACGUAGGGUGCAAGCGUUGUCCGGAAUUAUUGGGCGUAAAGAGCUCGUAGGCGGUCUGUCGCGUCGGCUGUGAAAACCCGGGGCUCAACCCCGGGCCUGCAGUCGAUACGGGCAGACUAGAGUGCGGUAGGGGAGACUGGAAUUCCUGGUGUAGCGGUGGAAUGCGCAGAUAUCAGGAGGAACACCAAUGGCGAAGGCAGAUCUCUGGCCGUAACUGACGCUGAGGAGCGAAAGCAUGGGGAGCGAACAGG
rnacentral:rRNA from 1 species